UACGGGGGGGGCAAGCGUUGUUCGGAAUUACUGGGCGUAAAGGGCUCGUAGGCGGCCAACUAAGUCAUACGUGAAAUCCCUCGGCUUAACCGGGGAACUGCGUCUGAUACUGGAUGGCUUGAAUCCGGGAGAGGGAUGCGGAAUUCCAGGUGUAGCGGUGAAAUGCGUAGAUAUCUGGAGGAACACCGGUGGCGAAGGCGGCAUCCUGGACCGGCAUUGACGCUGAGGAGCGAAAGCCAGGGGAGCAAACGGG
rnacentral:rRNA from 1 species